UUUUGUCUUGAGUUGCCGUCGCAAGGAUGGUAUGUCUCCUAUGCAGUAUUUGCUUGUGUUUUAGUGCGCUUUCUAAGACAAUGCGAUGACAAUGGUUCCUAUGCAUCACAUUGUCGAUUUCCCAGAAGAGUUAUGAUGCUAAGAAAACGUAAACGGCGUAGGGGCAAGAACGCACUGUGAAACGCCAAUCGGACUGCACGUCGCGAAUGUUUGCAGAAACUUAGGAGGAACUUGAAGAGAAACAGGAUAAGAAGAUUCCGAACAUACCCCAUGCAAAAAUCUGGAGUGGGACCACUUCGAAGUGGAUUAUUGUAUUAUCCAGGCUAAACUCCAACAAAAUCGGUGCUGCAGAGAGGGCGCGAGGGAAUGACCGCUGGCUGCGUCGGCGCAGGAGACGGUAGAGUGUGUGCACGCAUGCGUAGCGCCCGCAGAGAGACACUUCUGACAGUCUAGCGCUGGCACUCGUAGGGAGAGGACGUCGGUUGCGCCACCGUCGCUGCGCCAUGUUAGUAAUGUCCAUGUCGCCAUGGGUGAAAGGUAAGUGAUUUGCCGUAUCUGUUAGGCCUUUUCCCCAAUGUGUCUGGUAUUAGAACAUUUUUAUUUAGCUUUGCGCUCAUCUUAAGCUUUUUCCCCGCAUGACUGGACUUGUUUAGCAGUGACUUCCUUGCCAUCAUCUCCGUUGAAUUUCAUAGCGUCGUGCCUGAGCGCUCGUCUUAAGCCUUUUCUCCAUGCUAUCGCAUGUUUAGCGGUGUUCAUUUUUACUCUACAGCUAGCAUUUUGUGGUUGUCAUCUUGUGUGAGCUGUCAAAUUUUUGUAGCGUUUUGCGGUGACGCUAUGGUUAGGCCUAAUCACUUGUCUUAAGUCUUUUCCCCUAUGUGUAGUGUUUCCUCCGUCCUAACACAUGUUUAGCAGUGUGCAGCGGUUAGGCCUUUUCCCUGACGAGUAUGUCUGAACUUGUUUAGCAGUGCCUUCCUUGACACUAGUAUUUUGUUGCUGUUUUCAUCUUGUGUUAGCCGUGGAGUUUCGUAGCGAUGUGCGGUUACGGAGUGAUUAGGCCUGAGCUCCCCGAUGCCUAGCUCUGAACUCAUCUUAAGCCUUUUUUCCGUGCCGUCACAUGUUUAGUCUUGUUUAGCAGUACCUUUCUUGUGUUUAUUCGCGUCCUUCUUUACGCCAUGUUCACACUGCGAUUAGGCUUAAGCGCUUGUCUUAAGCCUUUCCCCCGAUGUUUUGUAUGUGCUCUCAGAUGUUUAGACUUGUUUAGCAGUGUCUUUCUUGUUGCAAUUUUUACCCGCCGCUACUAUUUUGUCUUGCUGCCUUCCACGCAUAUCGCCAUGAGGGGGAUGGUGGUGCCAUCUGGUGUGAUGCCUUGCAACUAGGUAGCCACCUGUCGUCGAUCUCUGCAAAUAUCAGCCGCCAACGAGCAAGAUGGCAGUCAGUGGUCAUCUGCCCGUUUCGGAAUGAUUUCUCCACUCUAUUUCUAUCUAUUCUUUAUGAUGAUGAUGAUUGGGAGUUUAAUGGCGCAUUGACAACAAAGAUCAUAAUGUGCCAUACUAUUUUUUAUGACCACUAGUAUCUGGAAACAUGUAGGGUGGUCUGGAUACUUGUUAGAUGCUCCCCAAUUAGUGUGGUGACUCACUGGAUGAUCCUAAUGACUGUGGGGGGUCCUGAUUGCUAAUUUAAUGUUGUCUGGACCCUUCGUGUGAUUCCAGAUACUUGUGGUCAGUGCUUACUACUGUCGCUCACUCACUCCGUGCUCAGCUCUUCGCUUGCUCACUCCUCAUGCUCAGUUCCCCAUUUGCUCACUCGCUCCCCACUCAGCAAUUCGUUUGCGCACUCAUGCUCACUCACUUGGUGCUCAGUUCUCUGUUUGCUCUAGCCUCCCACCUCUGGGUAAGCUGUCUCCGAUCCUCGUUUGCCGUCUCAUCUCACAGAUCUCUAGGUUGUCAACAGCGUGUAGAGCAUGACAAUUGAGAGUUGAGCUCAUGUGAUGGGUAUUACUUGAGGGUGAAAUGAGGUUAUAAGACAGGGGAUGUUUGAUAUAAGGUGUAAGGCAGUGGUUUAUCUCGAACCGCAAGUACGGGGUGUGAUUGGAGUGGCAUCAGGCUGCUCAGUUCACCCAAUGGACCUUCUCCACAUACCUGUCGUAUCCUAGCGGUUCCCCAGCGAACCACGCUCGGCACAUGCAAAAACAAAUCCACGUGGGUAGCACUAAGGACCAAAAUCGGUCUGGAGUGGGACCGACGAGCUCGCUCCGCUCAGGCGGUCUCCUCACUGGUCCCCACUUCUGUCUUGACUAUACUGCGCAAUCUAGUGAAGACGGAGAUAACCCUCUCCAGCGCCUCAAGGUAAUGUGCAUAGGUCAUUGUGAAAAAGGUUUGUUUGAGAAUGAUUUCAGCUCACUCAUACUCAGUGCACAUUCACCACACUAAGCAAGAAUGAUUAUUCUCAUGAGUGAGUUUUGCUCAUGCUCAUCUCCUCGUUUGUUCAUUCAUGCUCGCAAGUGUGUUUUGCUGAUAUUCUUGUUUGCUCACUCCCUCCUUGCUCAGCUCCCCAUUUGCUCACUCAAGCUCAGCUCAUUCGCCACAUAAAGUAUGAGUGAGCAUGAACGAGCGUGCUCAUGCCGAGGUAUGCCAAUGAGAAUGGCGCUCGCUCAUUUGACGUCAGAGCUUUACGCGCGCAUUAGAUGUGGCUUUUUCAAAGGUAUUUUGGAGAGGGAGUCUGCUGCGAAAAUCCCUGCUUAUAUUCACAGUGAAAGCUAUUGUAAAGAUGUAGGUAUUCUUUGCUGGAGAGGGCGUUCCACGAGGAACUGCAGCACUGCUAUGGAUUAGCCUCCUGCAUGAGAUGUGGCUCCAAUAAACUGUGUACUGCAGGGAGCUGUUUAAAUGAAGCCGAUAAGACAGCCCAUGCACGCCAAUGCAAAUUUUGCCAUUCACGGUGCAAUGCUUGACUACACUUCAAUAUUGUUUAUGAAUGCGCUUCUGUACGUCCAUCUAUUUCUAUGCACUGUAACACCCAUAAUAUCCGAAUUGUUCAGACUUUGAAUUUAGUAAACUUGAUCCUCUUUGGCGUUUCAUUGUCAUAUUUUACUGCAGGCAUACGUAACAGUAAGAAAGGACAUGUUUGGCUACACCUUGGCCAUUCAAAGGGGAUGCAGGUCCUUGGCAAGAUCUAUACCAGAACUGUACUUUGGCCAAGCUUGUGCAGUUUAUGUACUCUAAGAACAAAAAAGGAAGUAAUUGUAAAGCCUAGUCCCCUACAUAGCAGCCAGUCCCGAUUUUUGUCUCCUGAGCCUGAAAUUUAGUCCGGAAAGGGCCUAAUGGUUGUGAGCAUGCCCUCUCAAGGAUUAGAGUUACUCCAUUUUUCCUCGGGUGCGGCCAGUCUGGCUGGCCAAAAUCGGGCGAACCUUGGGUCAUAUUUGGCACUUUGCAUGGGCGUUGCUCUAGUCAAGGAUGCCUUUCCGAAGAUGGGCGCCACCGCAUGUCCUUGCGGAAAAUAAUCCUCGCUUGGCCACACCGCAACAGUGGCUACUGUACUGCUUGAGGAAAGCCUUGAAGGAACUGUAGCACAUGUCAGAUUGAAAUAUAGCAGUCCUAUGAUUGUAUGACUAUCCGAACAUAAUAUGUUUGAAUAAAUAUAUGUGCUAGUA